GGAGGGGAAGAAAAGCCAGAAUGCCAAUAAGGAUACAAUAAAAAACUCUGAUAGCACAAGAAUAUGCUGAGACCAGCUCUCAUUUGAGCUCCGUGUUAAUCUUUGGACAACACAAGGAGGGUCACAGAGUCUGGGGAUUUCUCUGCAAUAGUAGAGCAACACCAACAUUUUACAUUUCAGACAAGGGAAUCAGAUUAUUUUUUAUUGCUACCCCAAGACAUUUGUUGUGCAAAGGACCUACAGAUCCCCACUUCAUUUCCUCGGAAACUUCUGACACCAGUCUCUUUACAAGGAGAGACAGGGAUUUUCUGUCACUCAGAAGAGAAAGGGCUGAGGCACAGAAAGGCAGAAUCACAAACAUGAAGGCAAGAACAGCUUUGAUGGGCAAGAAAGAGAUUGAGAGAGAAGGAGUGCUGAAAAAAUGGCAUCAUCCACUGGAUACUCCUCGGGGUGUGGAGAAUGAGACUUUGCCUGGACUGCUUUUGAGUCACAGUUGGUUGUGUCUAACAAGUUGAGAAACACAAAAGAUUUCCCAGUUUAGCACCAUCAUCAUCACUUUCAAGACUUCAAGAAUUUCAAGACCUCUCUCUUUGACAUUGCUUUAAG